UACGUAGGGUGCAAGCGUUGUCCGGAAUUAUUGGGCGUAAAGAGCUUGUAGGCGGUUUGUCGCGUCUGCUGUGAAAUUUCGGGGCUCAACCCCGAACUUGCAGUGGGUACGGGCAGACUAGAGUGUGGUAGGGGAGACUGGAAUUCCUGGUGUAGCGGUGAAAUGCGCAGAUAUCAGGAGGAACACCGAUGGCGAAGGCAGGUCUCUGGACCAUAACUGACGCUGAGAAGCGAAAGCAUGGGGAGCGAACAGG
rnacentral:rRNA from 1 species